rfam:Piloderma croceum F 1598 unplaced genomic scaffold scaffold_00018, whole genome shotgun sequence.
GCCCGCCUAGCUCAAUCGGAUAGAGCGUCAGACUCUUAUUUAGGCGGGUUAACCAAUUUACUGGGUAUCUGAAGGCUGCGAGUUCGACCCUCGCGGUGGGCU